rnacentral:rRNA from 1 species
AGCAGCCGUGGUAAUUCCAGCUCCAAUAGCGUAUAUUAAAGUUGUUGCAGUUAAAAAGCUCGUAGUUGAAUUUUAGGCCUGGCCGGGCGGUCCGUCUUUGGCGAGUACUGUUCUGUGUCGGGUCUUACCUUCUGGUGAACCGGCAUGUUCUUUAUUGAGUGUACCGGGGAGCCAGGACCAUUACCUUGAAAAAUUAGAGUGUUUAAAGCAGGCAUUUGCUUGAAUAGAUUAGCAUGGAAUAAUAGAAUAGGACGUUGGUUCUAUUUUGUUGGUCUAGGACCACCGUAAUGAUUAAUAGGGAUAGUUGGGGGCAUUAGUAUUCAAUUGUCAGAGGUGAAAUUCUUGGAUUUAUUGAAGACUAACUAUUGCGAAAGCAUUUGCCAAGGAUGUUUUCAUUAAUCAAGAACAAAAGUUAGGGGAUCGAAGACGAUCAGAUACCGUCGUAGUCUUAACCAU